GGGCAUCACAGAAAAGGCCUUGCUCCUUGUACCCAUCUGCUUUUGCCAGUCAGCAUCUCAGCAGAGCCUCCAGCAUAGAUCUUAGUGUGCAGUCUUAGUCUGCAAUGCCGUGCUGGGUUCCAGAGGAGGGGCAGUAUGGAACACAGUCUUUGAGCAGUAGUACUAUCUGCUCUGAGAACUGUCUGUGGCAGAGUUGACUUCUUCUGAGAGGACCAUGGAUGGGCUUUGUGUGCAUUUUCUGGUUGGAAGACUGCAUCGCAAAAUUCUGGGAAAUGCGAACUUUGAAGGAUAGCUGCGUUUUGGUUUGUGUAUUAGUUUCGGAAGUGGAAAAUAGUGUGAAGACUACACACACACAUUCUACUUGGCAGGAUGGUAUGCUUGCAUGGUCUUCUCCCUCAAACAGUUCUAGAGGGAUUUUUCUACGAUGACUUUGGUCUACAACCCAACAAGUUACAACUACACACAUCAACAUAAUGCACAUUUGUGCUUGUAGCAUCAUUUUUUUAAAAAAUGUGCUGAAAAAUUAAAACUGCUUUGUGUUACUCAUCUCUGUGGAAUUUAGCAGGAAAGCUUGUGAAGCUAAAAACUAGGCAGUUUUUUAUAUUUGUUGUUUAUUCAUUGUUUGUUUAGAUUGUUAAUAUUUCUGUACAGUGCAAUCACAAUACAAAUUCAAGCCAUAAGCAGCCUUACUAUGUAUGACAGAAAGCACAUAAUU